AAGUGACUGAAUAUAACACUUUUUGAGUAAAAAAACGACGUUAUCUUUUACAGUUAUGAUCAGAUGAAGCUUUCAAAGUCUUCCGAUGUAAAUCAGACAUUGCUACCUUUAUAAAUUAAUGUUUAUUUCUUUCCUAAACGGUAUAUUCACUCAACAAUUUAAAAACUGUCGUUGCCCGGCCAUUAAGGUUCCAUGAAAAGCACAGAAAAAAAGUAUAUUCAUUUCUUUUGAUCUUUUUAUUAUGAACUUUGACUUGUUUAUUAUGAUCAACAUAUUUUUAACUUUGACUGUGGAAAGGUUGUAACUGAUUACAAGCUUGUGCGUAAGUAUGCUCCGCACUAUUCUGAAACAAGUCGUCUUCUUUUCUCCAUGAAACAAGGUCUACAGUUCUGGGUCGACAAACAUCAUUUUAGAGAUGGAAAGAUGGUGAUUUCCUGUGAUGGCAGUAUUCCUGGUAUUUACAACAUGUCAUCACAAAGCUAUGUCAUAGGAAGGUACACUGAACCUCUGCAGUUUCUGGAGACAAGAUCAGAAGCCAUGUCUCCUCAACCAACAAUUCUUCAUAUCCUCAGCUUGCAUUUAUUAAAUGUCGUCUUUCAUUUGAACAAACGUAUUAUUUUGACAUAGUUCACAUAGAACUCUUUAAACCAAACAAUAACAUAUUUACUUGUUAAUUGUGAAGAUUUAUAAAUUUCUUUGGGGAAAAAAUAUCUUAGAAUUGUUUUAGAAACAUAGUGUUUCAUUCAUUUCUGAGUUGAAGUACAUAUAUUCUCAUAAACCUAAAUCAAUGUUUUCACAAAAUUCAAGUUUUCUAAUCCCUAUCUUUGCAUACUGAUGGUUUACAAAUUUAUUAUUUCAAACGUAUUAUUAAACAGUAUAAGGUCUCCGUUGGCGGCAAAAACUCAGUUUCUUUGGCUUUAUCGGACCCUAUUAAAGGUAGUAUUUGUGGAUUUAAAGGAAGGUUUUUAAGUUGUCGAUUUUUCAUUUUAGUACGUUCAAGAAGGAUUUUCGUGUAUUUGGCAAGAAAUGGAGUAUUUGCCACAAACUAUAAUUUUUUAAAAUCCUAUAUCUUUGCAGCUCGAUGGCGAAUACUUUUGAUUUAUCAAACCGUGAAUUAUGCUGGAUGAAAUUAGACAAUUUGAUUUUGUUACAAAGACUUAAGUUCUUUCUUGCCUUAAACUCAAAUUUUCUAAUCCCUAUAUU